CUAAUGGGAUCUGAUCAGAACUUGAAAUCAUCCACUCUGGUUGACCAGGAUGUUUGGCAAUCUGGUAGUCAGAAAGUGUCUCUAAACAUGGUAUUAUAUUUUUUUUGGUCCUCUGGUUCAUCAUCUUUUGAUGAAAACAGCAAGUUUCCUACGGAUACGUUGGUUUGGAUCCCAUAUCAUAAGCAAGGGAAACUCCCUACGCUCAUCUUAUGCCCCAUCAAAUGCAUUCAUACCAAUUCAAAAAUUUUGUUGAGUGCCUCCAAGAGUGC
rnacentral:lncRNA from 1 species